CAGCCGCCGCGGGAAAACGUAGGUGGCAAGCGUUGUCCGGAAUUAUUGGGCGUAAAGGGCUCGCAGGCGGUUUCUUAAGUCUGAUGUGAAAGCCCCCGGCUCAACCGGGGAGGGUCAUUGGAAACUGGGAAACUUGAGUGCAGAAGAGGAGAGUGGAAUUCCACGUGUAGCAGUGAAAUGCGUAGAGAUGUGGAGGAACACCGGUGGCGAAGGCGACUCUCUGGUCUGUAACUGACGCUGAGGAGCGAAAGCGUGGGGAGCGAACAGGAUUAGAUACCCCUGUAGUCCCUGUCUCUUAUAC
rnacentral:rRNA from 1 species